rnacentral:misc_RNA from 1 species
GAUGAAGAACGUAGCGAAAUGCGAUAAGUAAUGUGAAUUGCAGAAUUCAGUGAAUCAUCGAAUCUUUGAACGCACCUUGCGCUCCUUGGUAUUCCGAGGAGCAUGCCUGUUUGAGUGUCAUGAAAUUCUCAACCUUUUCAGCUUUCUUUGUUGAUCAGGCUUGGAUGUGGGAGUAUGCGGGCUUCUCAGAAGUCGGCUCUCCUGAAAUGCAUUAGCGGGACCUUUGUUGCCUGGCUUUGGUGUGAUAAUUAUCUACGCCAUUGUAGUCAAGCAGCUUAAAAUGAGGUUUCAGCUUCUAACCGUCUCCCCUGAGACAACUUUUUGACAAUUUGACCUCAAAUCAGGUAAGACUACCCGCUGAACUUAAGCAUAUCAAUAAGCGGAGGA